AUACAGUCUGUUAAGGUCACUUGAGAUUUAUAUGAAUAUAUCAUUUGUGAUCAGCUGUUCGUGCUGUGUUACAUUUCAUCAAAACCGUUUUACUGUAUGGUUGCCAAACUGUAGUUCAAUAAAAACGUACGAUGGAUGUGUAUAGAAGCAUAUUAUGUUUGUAUUUGUUGGUUUUCAUUACUCAAACUGUGGUGAAAUCAAGGUCCAUCAUUUCACCUCGAGACUUGGAAAAUCUAGAGACAGCCGUGGAAGCAGAAAUAGAUGAUGCCAUAGAAGUUUUACGGGAAAUAAAACAUAUCAGAAAUAAAGUGAAGCGUAGCAGACGACACUCAGAAAACAACGACAAUUCUUAUGUCAGAACAAGACGUAACUAUCCAAAUAGAACAACUCUUCUUGUCUUAAGAUGUAAAAAUUUAAGGGCGAUUGGGCAAUGGCCGCCCUUUUGUGACCGGAUUCUUGGAAAUUCCCGUGGCGACAACACACAUAUUAUUGAUUCUCCCGAUACAUAAACCGAUGGUUUUUGGCAUUGGUUGAAAGACGUUACGACAAUACAAACGGGACUUUGUGAUAUUGUGUUCAUACUGUAUAUGUGUAGGACCUGUGACCUUGAAUAAAUGUAUUUAUCAGAAUGAAUGCUGUGAAAUCCUUGUCAAGUAUAAUAUUUGAUGGUGUGAUGGGACUGUAUGAGCGUAUUAAUUCAAAAAUAUUGUAUGAAUGAAAUUUCUUUGUUGUUUUAUCACAAGCAUGCACUUGGUCAUGUUUAAAAUUUGUAUUAUCCGAAAGCUCGUUAAAAACGUAACUGUUUUGAUCUGAUUCUACUGUUAAAUUUAAAAACUAUAUAAUAUUAUCUUUUGGUCUUUUUUUUUGUGCUCUCAAAAUAAAAAAUUCGUAAUCCAACAAAUAGAAAUGGAAACUUCACUUGUUUGAUUAAAAGUUAAACAUUUUUCUUACUGUUAUUGAAUUCAUUUUUUACCGUACAAUUAUUGCUAUUGGGCGUUUAUUUCAGCAUUAGGGUCUAUUAACAUCUAAAUGAUUUAGAUAGUUCAAAGUCUAACUGCAUGACAGUUGAAUAUUUAUCGAAUAUAUUAUUGUGUAUUAUCUUUUCAUGUUAAAUCGUGUGUCUUCGCUUAAAUUUUAUUUUUUUUAACUAUCUAAGCAGAAAUUUUUUUUUUAGCAGAGUAACUUCUUAUAAGAAACCUACGACUUCAUCCUUUUUUUUCUGUAAACCGUUUCCAAACUCCUGAACUAUAUAUAUAUAUUUGUGAAAGUCAUUUCCCAAAUCCUGAAUUAUCUCCAUUUUAUAUCAAGACUCUUUUCUGAAUUCACAACUUGGCUUUACGGUUGAUACACGUUAUGACAUUUUUUCUUUAUUCUAUAGCUGUUUUAAUGUCACAAAUAUGAAAAUGUCAUUUAAGCACUUGAUGGUGUUUGUAUCAAAAGGGAUUAAAAUUAAUGUAUACAACUCUAAAGCCUCUAAGCACCAUUGAGCUUAUCAAUAAUUCUUAUCAAUCAAUUGAUCGUGUAUAAUGACAGUUCAUUUAAGAGUGGGAUCCAAAAUUCCCCUCCAACCCAACCCAACUCAACCAACCUCCCCUAACAUCUCUUGAACAAUAUCUUUGUUUUUCUGAUUAUUUUUGUUUUGUUUGUUGUCAGUUUAAUUGUCCUGUUUUUUUCAUGUUGCAAUUUUAAUAAACUUCUUGACAUUUUUA